GGGACAAAAGGAAAAAACCUGGCAGGUGGGGCAAGAUUCUCUCUGGGUGGGUCGCCUGUCUUGAGUUACUUUUUACUUGUUUUUCCGUGCUGCACAGCUAACCUGUUUUUGUAUUUACAAUGCACGACUGCUGAUACUCCAGAAAUAUACUUACCGCACCUCCUGUCCUUAUAGGAGAAGAUUGGCCAAUAGCCAAAUAAGAUUCUGGUCAGGAAAGUGAUUUACUCCAUUUGAUGUUGUGUGGAAUGUCAAUGACCUUGGAACAUGAAAGGGAAUUCAUCAUGAAAGAUCAUGAACUGUAUCUGAGGAACAACCAUGUGUACUUAGCAUGUGAGUCUGCCCUGCUGUGCCUUCAUACUGAUAUCAGCUUUGGAAGUGACCCACAACUGCAAUCCUGAGCAGAGAACCUAUACCUUUUCAAGGAUGAAUGGACUUUUCUUCAUGUUUCACUAGGGAAAGAUAAAUAUCAGGAAAGUAUCUCAAGGGUCUCACAAGAUUGCUCAUGAUAAUCUCAGACUCAAGCAUGCUGGAAGUGCUUCUCCCCAGCUUCUCAGAAGGUUUCACUGAAGACACACUCACCACACCUAGCUGGUGUAAGGUUCUGAUUCAAGCCAUGCUUCCUCUCUGUAUCUCAAGAAGUUGACACUGGAGGAAACACCUUCGAAUGUGGAGACAAACUCUAAAAUUUUCUACCUGCAAGAUGAUGGACCCCCUGUAAUAUGAAGAAUGAAUAAAGAAUAAUUCUUCUUCCAUGUAG